rnacentral:rRNA from 1 species
ACGUAGGUGGCAAGCGUUGUCCGGAGUUACUGGGUGUAAAGGGCGUGUAGGCGGGAAGAUAAGUCAGAUGUGAAAUUCCAUGGCUCAACUGUGGCGCUGCAUCUGAAACUAUUUUUCUUGAGUGAUGGAGAGGAAAGUGGAAUUCCUAGUGUAGCGGUGAAAUGCGUAGAUAUUAGGAGGAACACCAGUGGCGAAGGCGACUUUCUGGACAUUAACUGACGCUGAGGCGCGAAAGCGUGGGGAGCAAACAGG